GGGGCCGUCGUCUAGCAUGGAUUAGGAUACAUGCCUGGGGCGCAUGCGAUCCUGGGUUCAAAUCCCAGCGGCCUCACCA
rnacentral:tRNA from 4 species